CCUACGGGAGGCAGCAGUGGGGAAUAUUGGACAAUGGGCGCAAGCCUGAUCCAGCCAUGCCGCGUGAGUGAUGAAGGCCCUAGGGUUGUAAAGCUCUUUUGUGCGGGAAGAUAAUGACUGUACCGCAAGAAUAAGCCCCGGCUAACUUCGUGCC
rnacentral:rRNA from 1 species